GAUGAACGCUGGCGGCGUGCCUAAUACAUGCAAGUCGAGCGAACGGACGAGAAGCUUGCUUCUCUGAUGUUAGCGGCGGACGGGUGUGUAACACGUGGAUAACCUACCUAUAAGACUGGGAUAACUUCGGGAAACCGGAGCUAAUACCGGAUAAUAUUUUGAACCGCAUGGUUCAAAAGUGAAAGACGGUCUUGCUGUCACUUAUAGCUGGAUCCGCGCUGCAUUAGCUAGUUGGUAAGGUAAUGGCUUACCAAGGCAACGAUGCAUAGACGACGUGAGAGGGUGAUCGGCCACACUGGAAGGGAGACAGGGUCAAGACUCCUACGGGAGGCAGCAGUAGGGAAUCUGCCGCAGUGGGCGAAAGCCUGACGGAGCAACGCCGCGUGAGUGAUGGAGGUCUUCGGAUCGGAAAACUCUGUUAUUAGGGAAGAACAUAUGUGGAAGUAACUGUGCACAUCUUGACGGUACCUAAUCAGAAAGCCACGGCUAACUACGUG
rnacentral:rRNA from 1 species